GUGAGGAAUUUUGCGCAAUGGGGGCAACCCUGACGCAGCGACGCCGCGUGGAGGACGAAGUCUUUCGGGAUGUAAACUCCUGUCAGUGGGGACGAUAAUGACGGUACCCACAGAGGAAGCACCGGCUAACUCCGUGCCAGCAGCCGCGGUAAGACGGAGGGUGCAAGCGUUGUUCGGCAUUACUGGGCGUAAAGCGUAUGUAGGCGGCAAGUUAAGUUCAAUGUUAAAGCCCACGGCUCAACCGAGGAGAUGCAUUGAAUACUGGCUAGCUAGAGGGUGUUAGAGGAAGACGGAGUUCCCAGUGUAGCGGUGAAAUGCGUAGAUAUUGGGAGGAACAUCGGUAGCGAAAGCGGUCUUCUGGGACAUACCUGACGCUGAGGUACGAAAGCGUGGGGAGCAAACGGGAUUAGAUACCCGAGUAGUCC
rnacentral:rRNA from 1 species